GACGAACGCUGGCGGCGUGCCUAAUACAUGCAAGUAGAACGCACAGUUUAUACCGUAGCUUGCUACACCAUAGACUGUGAGUUGCGAACGGGUGAGUAACGCGUAGGUAACCUGCCUGGUAGCGGGGGAUAACUAUUGGAAACGAUAGCUAAUACCGCAUAAUAUUAAUUAUUGCAUGAUAAUUAAUUGAAAGGUGCAAUUGCACCACUACCAGAUGGACCUGCGUUGUAUUAGCUAGUAGGUGAGGUAACGGCUCACCUAGGCGACGAUACAUAGCCGACCUGAGAGGGUGAUCGGCCACACUGGGACUGAGACACGGCCCAGACUCCUACGGGAGGCAGCAGUAGGGAAUCUUCAGCAAUGGACGAAAGUCUGACCGAGCAACGCCGCGUGAGUGAAGAAGGUUUUCGGAUCGUAAAGCUCUGUUGUAAGAGAAGAACGGGUGUGAGAGUGGAAAGUUCACACUGUGACGGUAUCUUACCAGAAAGGGACGGCUAACUACGUG
rnacentral:rRNA from 1 species